GACGAACGCUGGCGGCGUGCCUAAUACAUGCAAGUCGAGCGGACCAAAGGGAGCUUGCUCCUGGAGGUCAGCGGCGAACGGGUGAGUAACACGUGGGCAACCUGCCUGUAAGACUGGGAUAACAUCGAGAAAUCGGUGCUAAUACCGGAUAAUAAAAAGAACUGCAUGGUUCUUUUUUGAAAGAUGGUUUCGGCUAUCACUUACAGAUGGGCCCGCGGCGCGAUUAGCUGGUUGGUGAGGUAACGGCUCACCAAGGCAACGAUGCGUAGCCGACCUGAGAGGGUGAUCGGCCACACUGGGACUGAGACACGGGCCCAGACUCCUACGGGAGCAGGCAGUAGGGAAUCUUCCGCAAUGGACGAAAGUCUGACGGAGCAACGCCGCGUGAGUGAUGAAGGUUUUCGGAUCGUAAAACUCU
rnacentral:rRNA from 1 species